UCCGUCUCUUCCUCUAACUAACUACACGUAGCCCACAAAAAAAACUAACUACACCUACACCCCUAAAAAACCUAACUACACGUACUACAUGGCAUAUUCUUCUUCAUUACCUCUCUCUUGAUAGAUGGAAGACAAAUCCAUCCACGAUCUCUUUGUCUUCAUUAUCUCCCUCGCCCUCAAAGGAAAAGAAAAUCGUAGGAUGAAUUCUCUGUUUUCAAGGAGGUUUUUAUCACAAUAGUUUUCCUCAUGUAUCAGAUCCAUAUUUUUUCACUCUAUUUAUUCUGUAUAUGUUUUCUUGCAGGUUCACAAUUGAAUCAACCAUGCCUUUCCGUUUGAUUUUUAUUCAAUUUUUUCGGUCUCCACAGAUUGGAUCCUGAAUCUUCUGACCUGCAAAUUUUGGAUGCUUCGUAGAGAUCGGGUUGGAGCACAUGAACCAUGCCCGUCGUCGCUGCUGCAGAUUCGGCCACUCCAUGCCAAGGUUGUCUUUGAGUGGUCACUGUCCUAAGGUAGUUUUAGACUAAAUCAAUUCAUCAAAGAUCAGCGCGUGUACGUGCAAAGCUAGCUUCAGAAGCUAGCAGGCAGGCAGGUGGAUGGAUUCUGCCAAAGUUCCAUGUACCAAGCUAGCUCUCACACAUAGAGCCACCGGCUUCAUGCGCGUAGCUUACCGAGGAACAUGAUAGUUUCGACCAGAAACACACGCACGCACGCGACACACAGGACACAGCGAUUUUAUGGCCACUAGACCACGUUGGUCCUGUUUGAUUUCUUUCUAUUGAUCUCACUAUGGAUUACAUACAAAGUGUUAUAUACUUGCAUGUAUAUAUACUUUACAUACAAAGUGUUAUAUACUUACAUGUAUAUAUAUUAUUACUACGCUUGACUUAACCCAAACCGACUAGGCAUACACAUUCAUAUAGGAUACCCAUACACACACGGGGACACGGCAUUAACUCUAAUACCCUAAAGAGUAAAAAGUACCAAUCUUCAGAAUUUUGUGUUUGUACGUGUUAAUCUUUUUGAAUUCCUUUAAUUUGUUAUAUUCAGGUUCUUUCUUUCUUUUUUGCAGUAUAAGGUUGAAAACAAUGGUUUGCAGUAUAAGGUCAAAAAAUACUAGAAUUUGCAGAAUAAAACUUAAUAUUUUGUAGCAUGAGUGCAAAAGAAUGUAGUUGUGGCGGAUAUCAGAGUUGGUUGUACGGACGACCGUCAAGCACACAGACGCAUCGGACAUCGGUGGCGAAGGCGGGAAAACAAUACCACUGGCACUCUCUAUUUCAUAGCAGUAGGUGCCAACUGGCACAAGUAACAUGUCCACACAUAUGUAAUCAAAUGGUAUGUACCAUGAUAAAAGCAUGUUGAGACAAUUUCUCAACUCGUGAUCUUCAUAGUGAAAUUAUCGGAUCUGUUGUGUGUACUGCAUAAAUGGAUUUAUAUAUGCCAAUUGUUCUAAUUUUUAUGCCUCUAUACAUGUAACAGGUGCAAAUUCGACAUGUCAUGCUGGAGUUAGGAUAGAGACACAUUUUCAAUAGUCCUUCUCAUGACGUUGACCCUGCUCAAUAUGCCCAAUCACAAUCAAGAGUAGAUAACAAUUUAUACUAUAAAAUGGG
rnacentral:lncRNA from 1 species